CGCAACAAGGCCUGAACGGCUUGAUUCAGUUAUGAAUCAAUUGGCUUUUGUUGCGAUGUUGUGUUUGCAAACUCGUAUUUCGAGUGAGGUAGAAUUCUACCAUCCUGUUUUGUGCAGUUAUCCCCUGCACCAAAACAUAUACUUCCUGUAUUUAUUGUUUGACCUGUCUGUCAAAUUCUUUAGCACCGCCCUUGGGCGGUGUUUUUUUAU
rnacentral:other from 1 species